AACGUCGGUUUACCUUUUCUUUGCCGAUUUCUCCAAUCUCUCGCCGUCGCUGCCCAAUAAUCCUCCAAUUCUUUCUCAUAUAAAAACACUCCUCACCAUGUUUUUACUCUAGUACGGAGUAGUAUUUAUUGGAAGCAUUCAAUCUUUACUCAAUCCAGCUUGAUUUUUCUUUCGGUGACAAACCCUUAACAUCAGGAAGCUAUAAUUCUGCCAAUUCGAUUACUGAUGUCGAGCUCGAAUUCGUCUUUGCUGGCAUCGCCAACCCAAGGAGCCGAUCAAUCAAAGAACUCGAUUGCAAAUCCAUCCAUGCCUACUCAGCAUCAGAGUCGGGGUUCCCUGCACGUGCCUGUGGCAAUCCUUUGGGACAUUGAGAACUGUCCCGUGCCAAGUGAUGUAAGGCCCGAGGACGUGGCUGGUAACAUCAGGAUGGCUCUGCGGGCUCAUCCUCUUAUUGAUGGAGUGGUCACUAUGUUUUCUGCCUAUGGGGAUUUCAAUGCUUUCCCCAGGCGGCUACGAGAAGGCUGCCAGAGAACUGGUGUCAGGCUCAUUGAUGUUCCAAACGGUCGAAAGGACGCUGCUGAUAAGGCUAUCUUAGUUGAUAUGUUCCUUUUUGCUCUCGAUAACCCUCCACCGUCUCCCAUCAUGCUUAUAUCAGGAGAUGUUGAUUUUGCUCCGGCUCUUCACAUUCUAGGUCAGAGAGGAUACACUGUCAUCCUAGUUAUACCCUCUGGAGUUGGUGUCUCGUCUGCUCUGAGUAAUGCUGGGAGGUUUGUUUGGGAGUGGCCUAGUGUUGCUCGUGGGGAAGGCUUUGUGCCACCCGCCAAGGGGUUGAAACCGCCUUGUGUAGGUACUGCAGAAGUUACCGGGCUUCUAAAGGGAUGUCAGGUCAAUGAUGGUGUUGAAGGCCAUAAUGAAGAAGAAUCAAUAGUGUAUCAGGGAGCUUCAGGAGGCUGUUAUAGUAAUACGAAAGAAGUUCCAGUCGUGUCACAGUCUCUAUCUGAAUAUAGUAGUAGUUCAGUAGUAAAGCUCCAAAAUCCCAUGAGUGGAAGAUCACACAGUCCUCCAUGUGGAUUUAACGAAGCUUCAGCGGGAACACCUGUUAAUUGUGAGCAACAAGACGUGAUGUGGGUGCAGCCGGGAGAUCUCGUUGGUUUGAAGUUACAAUUGGUAAAGUUACUUGAAUUGUUCGGUGGCUAUUUGCCCUUAACUCGUCUUCCAGCAGAGUACCAGAAGAUGUACGGCCGGCCUCUGUAUGUUUCUGAAUAUGGUGCUGUUAAACUCGUAAAUCUCCUGAAAAAGAUGGUUGGUUCAAUCAGUGUCGAGGGGAAGGGACAGAGGAAGACUGUCUGCCUCCGUAACCCAAAGCCCGAAUCAGUUGGUCCUACGCCCACAGUGAUUUUAGCUAGGCGGGAUAAGAAAGGAAAAUCGUCCAUGGAAGAUAACCUUAACAUAAUGGCUGGAACUUGUUCUUCAGAUGAGUUGUCAGAUGAGGAAAGGACGGCUAUUGAGGAAAACGGUGGUAAGAGGGGAGGAGGAGAGAAAUUUAGCUUUGAGACUACAAAUGAGUCACAGGCUAUUGAUAACCUUAAAAGGUUUAGAUACGAGCUUCAAGACAUCUUGGUAAGCUACUCUUGUCAAAUUUUUCUUCAAAGCUUUGAGACAAUAUAUCAUCAACGAUACAAAAGACAACUCGAUUAUACGAACUUUGGAGUGAGCCAUCUAGGAGAGCUUCUUGAUAAGGUGAGAGAUAUCGUGGUGGUGCAGGUGGAUCCGGUAAGUAAAAGGGAAUUUAUGAUUGCUAAUGGUGCAUAGUUGAAACAUUUUGUUACACGGCCGGGCCUAGUUUCCCUCCGGCUGCUAUCGGAGAAGUGCAUACAAGUGAAUAGUGGCGGCAUAUUGACACCGGAGAAAUGAGAGACGGAACCUGCUACGCGCUGUGGAAGCGUUUAGUUGUGCUCGAGAUGCAGAGCUGUUUGCCCGGGUUUCUGUUCCGAGACCAUGCUCAUAUCUCAGUGGCAUAUUGGUAAUUUUAGUUGUGUCUGUAUCCAGAGGUGGGACACCCAGUUGCAGAAAGUAAUGAGAUUGUAAUAUUUUGAUUG